rnacentral:rRNA from 1 species
AGUGAACGUUGGCGGCGUGGAUUAGGCAUGCAAGUCGAGCGAGGACCGUAGCAAUACGGGGACAGCGGCGAAAGGGACAGUAAUGUGUAGGUACCUACCUCCGGGUUCGGGAUAGCUGCGGGAAACUGCAGGUAAUACCGAAUAACGUCUCCGGACCAAAGGUGUGAUUCCACCUGGAGAGGGGCCUGCAUCCUAUUAGCUUGUUGGCGGGGUAACGGCCCACCAAGGCGACGAUGGGUAGCGGGUGUGAGAGCACAACCCGCGUCAUUGGGACUGAGACACUGCCCAGACACCUACGGGUGGCUGCAGUCGUGAAUCUUCGGCAAUGGGCGCAAGCCUGACCGAGCGACGCCGCGUGCGGGAUGAAGGCCUUCGGGUUGUAAACCGCUGUCGUAGAGGAGGAAAUGCAGGGGGGUUCUCCCCUCUGUUUGACCUAUCCUAGGAGGAAGUACGGGCUAAGUUCGUGCCAGCAGCCGCGGUAA